UCCAGUCGAUUGAGCUGCAAUAGUCGCU
rnacentral:sRNA from 1 species